rnacentral:rRNA from 1 species
GACCCGCGGCGUAUUAGCUAGUUGGUGAGGUAAUGGCUCACCAAGGCGAUGAUACGUAGCCGAACUGAGAGGUUGAUCGGCCACAUUGGGACUGAGACACGGCCCAAACUCCUACGGGAGGCAGCAGUAGGGAAUCUUCCACAAUGGACGCAAGUCUGAUGGAGCAACGCCGCGUGAGUGAAGAAGGCUUUCGGGUCGUAAAACUCUGUUGUUGGAGAAGAAUGGUCGGCAGAGUAACUGUUGUCGGCGUGACGGUAUCCAACCAGAAAGCCACGGCUAACUACGUGCCAGCAGCCGCGGUAAUACGUAGGUGGCAAGCGUUAUCCGGAUUUAUUGGGCGUAAAGCGAGCGCAGGCGGUUUUUUAAGUCUGAUGUGAAAGCCCUCGGCUUAACCGAGGAAGCGCAUCGGAAACUGGGAAACUUGAGUGCAGAAGAGGACAGUGGAACUCCAUGUGUAGCGGUGAAAUGCGUAGAUAUAUGGAAGAACACCAGUGGCGAAGGCGGCUGUCUGGUCUGUAACUGACGCUGAGGCUCGAAAGCAUGGGUAGCGAACAGGAUUAGAUACCCUGGUAGUCCAUGCCGUAAACGAUGAAUGCUAGGUGUUGGAGGGUUUCCGCCCUUCAGUGCCGCAGCUAACGCAUUAAGCAUUCCGCCUGGGGAGUACGACCGCAAGGUUGAAACUCAAAGGAAUUGACGGGGGCCCGCACAAGCGGUGGAGCAUGUGGUUUAAUUCGAAGCAACGCGAAGAACCUUACCAGGUCUUGACAUCUUUUGAUCACCUGAGAGAUCAGGUUUCCCCUUCGGGGGCAAAAUGACAGGUGGUGCAUGGUUGUCGUCAGCUCGUGUCGUGAGAUGUUGGGUUAAGUCCCGCAACGAGCAACCCUUAUGACUAGUUGCCAGCAUUUAGUUGGGGCACUCUAGUAAGACUGCCGGUGACAAACCGAGGAAGGUGGGGAUGACGUCAAAUCAUCAUGCCCCUUAUGACCUGGGCUACACACGUGCUACAAUGGAUGGUACAACGAGUUGCGAGA